ACAGGAUUAGAUACCCUGGUAGUCCACGCUGUAAACGAUGUGUACUUGAUGUAGAUUGGCUCAACCCAGUCUGUAUCGUAGCUAACGCGAUAAGUACACCGCCUGGGAAGUACACUCGCAAGGGUGAAACUCAAAAGAAUUGACGGGGGCUCGCACAAGCAGUGGAGCAUGUGGUUUAAUUCGAUGCUACGCGAAGAACCUUACCUAGACUUGACAUAUAGUAGACCGGUACGGAAACGUACCUUCCCGCAAGGGCUGCUAAACAGAUGCUGCAUGGCUGUCGUCAGCUCGUGCCGUGAGGUGUUGGGUUAAGUCCCGCAACGAGCGCAACCCUUGUCAUUAGUUGCCAGCACGUAAUGGUGGGAACUCUAAUGAGACUGCCUGGGUUAACCAGGAGGAAGGUGAGGAUGACGUCAAGUCCGCAUGGCUCUUACGUCUAGGGCCACACACGUGCUACAAUGGUCGGUACAAUGGGCAGCAAUACCGUAAGGUGGAGCAAAUCCGCGAAAACCGGCCCCAGUUCAGAUUGAGGUCUGCAACUCGACCUCAUGAAGAUGGAAUUGCUAGUAAUGGCGUGUCAGCUAUAACGCCGUGAAUACGUUCCCGAGCCUUGUACACACCGCCCGUCACAUCACGGAAGUUGGUUCUACCCGAAGUCGCUGACUCAACCGCAAGGAGAGAGGCGUCUAAGGUAAGGCUGAUGACUGGGAUGAAGUCGUAACAAGGU
rnacentral:rRNA from 1 species